rnacentral:rRNA from 1 species
AUACGAGGGGUGCAAGCGUUAAUCGGAAUUACUGGGCGUAAAGCGUUCGUAGGCGGUUUGUUAAGCAAGAUGUGAAAGCCCAGGGCUCAACCUUGGAACUGCAUUUUGAACUGGCAAACUAGAGUACUGUAGAGGGUGGUGGAAUUUCCAGUGUAGCGGUGAAAUGCGUAGAGAUUCGAAGGAACAUCAGUGGCGAAGGCGGCCACCUGGACAGAUACUGACGCUGAGGAACGAAAGCGUGGGGAGCAAACAGGAUUAGAUACCCUUGUAGUCC